UUCCUGGUGGUCUAGUGGCCAGGACUCCACGAUCCCAAUGCAGGGGGCCCAGGUUCGAUCCCCGGUCAGGAAA
rnacentral:tRNA from 1 species